rnacentral:rRNA from 1 species
GAUGAACGCUGGCGGCGCGCCUAACACAUGCAAGUCGAACGGCCGGACCCACCUCGGUGGGCGAGGCAGUGGCGAACGGCUGAGUAACACGUGGGCAACCUGCCCCCCUCCCCGGGACAGCCUCGGGAAACCGUGGGUAAUACCGGAUACACCGCCCCCUCCGCAUGGGAGGGGCGGGAAAGCUCCGGCGGGGGGGGAUGGGCCCGCGGCCUGUUAGCUAGUUGGCGGGGCAACGGCCCACCAAGGCGACUAUGGGUAGCUGGGCUGAGAGACCGACCAGCCAGAUUGGGACUGAGACACGGCCCAGACUCCUACGGGAGGCAGCAGUGGGGAAUCUUGCGCAAUGGGCGGAAGCCUGACGCAGCGACGCCGCGUGCGGGAGGAAGGCCCUCGGGUCGUAAACCGCUUUCAGCAGGGACGAGGCCGCAAGGUGACGGUACCUGCAGAAGAAGCCCCGGCUAACUACGUGCCAGCAGCCGCGGUAAUACGUAGGGGGCGAGCGUUAUCCGGAUUCAUUGGGCGUAAAGCGCUCGUAGGCGGCCUGCUAGGUCGGGAGUCAAAUGCGGGGGCCCAACCCCCGGCCGCUCCCGAUACCGGCGGGCUUGAGUUUGGUAGGGGAAGGCGGAAUUCCCGGUGUAGCGGUGGAAUGCGCAGAUAUC